rnacentral:misc_RNA from 1 species
GUAUUACAUUUGUUUAGCUCAUUACAAGCUUAUCAAAGCAUUCUACAAAGUUGUAAUUGGGUAUAUAAUGCCACAUAGCCAAAGUCAACAAUUUGAAUUUUUCAAUACUGAGUAAUCAAAUUCCUGCACUGACGGUAACAAGACCAUGAAAGGUCUAUCAACGGUGCACACAGUUCAUCUUUCCUCAAGUAUCAAUCAAAUCUAUUGUCUCCUUUGUCUACAAUGAGGUGCACAGGUGAGGAUGAAGAUUUCAGGAGUGCACAGUGCAAAACUUUGAAGGUCUUGCCAGCACAUCCUUCAAGAAUCAAUAAUGAUCCUUCCGCAGGUUCACCUACGGAAA